UUCUAAUAAUUGGAAUCCGCAUUACUACGUCUCAAUGAUAAACAACUUCUUCUUCAAUGUUUUCAUUAAUUUCUGGAGAUGACACAUCUAAUAAUUUUUUCCUUUCCUCCAUUCUGCCUAAAUUGAUGAUACAUGGACAACUUAAGUUUGUACCGGAUCAAUCUCGCAUUUUCAACCACAUCUAUAGUGUAACUAUUCAAAAUAGGGAUAAGAAGUUAAGGUGAAUUGAUUAUAAUUAAAGCAUCGGCUAAGAGGUUAAAUAAUUCCAUAAUGUCCUAAUUAAUAAAUAGUAGAGUUGUAGUAAGAGGACCCAGACGUUGGGUGGAAGUCGUAAAUGAAUGGAUGAUCCCGAUGAUGAAUUGAACAGGGUAAGAAAAAAUUCUUCUAAAUUGAACUGAUAAUGAAGAACCGUGAGUGGAUAAUUUUGUAGUACUUCACUCUCCUUUUCCUCCUCCCAGGCAGCCAUCCAACGUUCCCAGUCCAUCUUUUCGACAGAUGAAGAAACGUUCAGAUUAGGGGGGACGAAGUAGAAGCUAUCACAGGCAGUAAGCUCUUCGGCAGUGGUUGACGACGACGAAUCUAAUCGCAUUUGUUCUCGAUGAUGAUGUUGAAAGAAGCCCCAGGUCCCGCCUGGAUCUUUGUCUAUUGUCUCUUCUUCUUUUCUAACUUCUCCUUCUCUCCUCACCUCCAACAAAGAUAAACAUGAUGAUGUUGGAUCCAGGAAGGAGGAUUUCUUUAUUGAUCGCCAACUACCGGGAGGUGGAUCCUUUAUUUGUUCGUAACAACAUUGUGUGGGGGGUGAUGACUCUUCUAGUAUGACCGAAGGAAAAGUUACCUCUACAUAGGAAUGUAGGAUUUCCCGCAGCCUUGUCAUCCUCAGUACCUCGUAUGAGAAAAGGACAUCGUUUCUCCACAUCUCUACAAACAGAGCGACAAGGAGCAACGGGCAUCGUCUUGUUGUUUAAUGUCGACGUCAGGUACAAUGGAAGAGACUCCGAACAUAUCCAGAAUCCAUACGCGAUCUGUAAAUAAUAUGACUCCAUUAGUAAAAAAUAACUAUCUAUGUAGUACAUAUUUUCUAUUAAUAGAAGUUAAUCUCAAAAA
rnacentral:lncRNA from 1 species